UAACACGUAAACAACCUGCCUUCAGGAUGGGGACAACAGACGGAAACGACUGCUAAUACCGAAUAAGUUCCAAGGGCCACAUGGCCCAUGGAAGAAAAGGUGGCCUCUACCUGUAAGCUAUCGCCUGAAGAGGGGUUUGCGUCUGAUUAGCUGGUUGGAGGGGUAACGGCCCACCAAGGCGACGAUCAGUAGCCGGUCUGAGAGGAUGAACGGCCACACUGGAACUGAGACACGGUCCAG
rnacentral:rRNA from 1 species